rnacentral:rRNA from 1 species
AUUGAACGCUAGCGGGAUGCUUUACACAUGCAAGUCGAACGGAGUGGCGGACGGGUGAGUAAUAUAUCGGUACGUGCCCAGUAGCGGGGGAUAACUACUCGACAGAGUGGCUAAUCCCGCAUUCUAUUUUAGCGGCCUAUAUCGGAUUAGCUAGUUGGUGGGGUAAAGUCUCCCCAAGGCAACGAUCCGUAGCUGGUUUGAGAGGACGACCAGCCACACUGGGACUGAGACACGGCCCAGACUCCUACGGGAGGCAGCAGUGGGGAAUUUUGGACAAUGGGGGAAACCCUGAUCCAGCCAUCCCGCGUGUAUGAUGAAGGCCUUAGGGUUGUAAAGUACUUUUGGCAGAGAAGCGGUAUCUGCAGAAUAAGCACCGGCUAACUACGUGCCAGCAGCCGCGGUAAUUC